rnacentral:rRNA from 1 species
UGUGAGCUCGAUGAGUAGGGCGGGACACGUGGUAUCCUGUCUGAAUAUGGGGGGACCAUCCUCCAAGGCUAAAUACUCCUGACUGACCGAUAGUGAACCAGUACCGUGAGGGAAAGGCGAAAAGAACCCCGGCGAGGGGAGUGAAAAAGAACCUGAAACCGUGUACGUACAAGCAGUGGGAGCACGCUUAGGCGUGUGACUGCGUACCUUUUGUAUAAUGGGUCAGCGACUUAUAUUCUGUAGCAAGGUUAACCGAAUAGGGGAGCCGAAGGGAAACCGAGUCUUAACUGGGCGUUAAGUUGCAGGGUAUAGACCCGAAACCCGGUGAUCUAGCCAUGGGCAGGUUGAAGGUUGGGUAACACUAACUGGAGGACCGAACCGACUAAUGUUGAAAAAUUAGCGGAUGACUUGUGGCUGGGGGUGAAAGGCCAAUCAAACCGGGAGAUAGCUGGUUCUCCCCGAAAGCUAUUUAGGUAGCGCCUCGUGAAUUCAUCUCCGGGGGUAGAGCACUGUUUCGGCAAGGGGGUCAUCCCGACUUACCAACCCGAUGCAAACUGCGAAUACCGGAGAAUGUUAUCACGGGAGACACACGGCGGGUGCUAACGUCCGUCGUGAAGAGGGAAACAACCCAGACCGCCAGCUAAGGUCCCAAAGUCAUGGUUAAGUGGGAAACGAUGUGGGAAGGCCCAGACAGCCAGGAUGUUGGCUUAGAAGCAGCCAUCAUUUAAAGAAAGCGUAAUAGCUCACUGGUCGAGUCGGCCUGCGCGGAAGAUGUAACGGGGCUAAACCAUGCACCGAAGCUGCGGCAGCGACGCUUAUGCGUUGUUGGGUAGGGGAGCGUUCUGUAAGCCUGUGAAGGUGUACUGUGAGGUAUGCUGGAGGUAUCAGAAGUGCGAAUGCUGACAUAAGUAACGAUAAAGCGGGUGAAAAGCCCGCUCGCCGGAAGACCAAGGGUUCCUGUCCAACGUUAAUCGGGGCAGGGUGAGUCGACCCCUAAGGCGAGGCCGAAAGGCGUAGUCGAUGGGAAACAGGUUAAUAUUCCUGUACUUGGUGUUACUGCGAAGGGGGGACGGAGAAGGCUAUGUUGGCCGGGCGACGGUUGUCCCGGUUUAAGCGUGUAGGCUGGUUUUCCAGGCAAAUCCGGAAAAUCAAGGCUGAGGCGUGAUGACGAGGCACUACGGUGCUGAAGCAACAAAUGCCCUGCUUCCAGGAAAAGCCUCUAAGCAUCAGGUAACAUCAAAUCGUACCCCAAACCGACACAGGUGGUCAGGUAGAGAAUACCAAGGCGCUUGAGAGAACUCGGGUGAAGGAACUAGGCAAAAUGGUGCCGUAACUUCGGGAGAAGGCACGCUGAUAUGUAGGUGAAGUGAUUUACUCAUGGAGCUGAAAUCAGUCGAAGAUACCAGCUGGCUGCAACUGUUUAUUAAAAACACAGCACUGUGCAAACACGAAAGUGGACGUAUACGGUGUGACGCCUGCCCGGUGCCGGAAGGUUAAUUGAUGGGGUCAGCGCAAGCGAAGCUCUUGAUCGAAGCCCCGGUAAACGGCGGCCGUAACUAUAACGGUCCUAAGGUAGCGAAAUUCCUUGUCGGGUAAGUUCCGACCUGCACGAAUGGCGUAAUGAUGGCCAGGCUGUCUCCACCCGAGACUCAGUGAAAUUGAACUCGCUGUGAAGAUGCAGUGUACCCGCGGCAAGACGGAAAGACCCCGUGAACCUUUACUAUAGCUUGACACUGAACAUUGAGCCUUGAUGUGUAGGAUAGGUGGGAGGCUUUGAAGUGUGGACGCCAGUCUGCAUGGAGCCGACCUUGAAAUACCACCCUUUAAUGUUUGAUGUUCUAACGU